GACGAGGGGUGCAAACGUUAUUCGGAAUGAUUGGGCGUAAAGGGUGCGCAGGCGGUAUGUUAAGUCAACUGUUAAAUUCCUCAGCCUAACUGGGGGUCAGCGGUAGAUACUGGCGUACUUGAGGAUGGGAGAGAGAAGUGGAAUUCUCGGAGUAGCGGUAAAAUGCGUAGAUCUCGAGAGGAACACCGAUGGCGAAGGCAGCUUCUUAGACCAUUUCUGACGCUCAUGCACGAAAGCGCGGGGAGCAAACAGG
rnacentral:rRNA from 1 species